UGAGGAAUAUUGGUCAAUGGGCGAGAGCCUGAACCAGCCAAGUCGCGUGAAGGAAGAAGGUUCUAUGGAUUGUAAACUUCUUUUGUAAGGGAAUAAAAUGCGCUACGUGUAGUGUUUUGUAUGUACUUUACGAAUAAGGAUCGGCUAACUCCGUGCCAGCAGCCGCGGUAAUACGGAGGAUCCAAGCGUUAUCCGGAUUUAUUGGGUUUAAAGGGUGCGUAGGCGGACCCGUAAGUCAGUGGUGAAAGUUUGCAGCUCAACUGUAAAAUUGCCAUUGAAACUGUGGGUCUUGAGUGUAAAUAAGGUAGGCGGAAUGUGUUGUGUAGCGGUGAAAUGCUUAGAUAUAACACAGAACACCAAUUGCGAAGGCAGCUUACUGGGAUACAACUGACGCUGAGGCACGAAAGCGUGGGGAUCAAACA
rnacentral:rRNA from 1 species